GACGAACGCUGGCGGCGUGCUUAACACAUGCAAGUCGAACGAUGACGACCGAGCUUGCUCGGUCUGAUUAGUGGCGAACGGGUGAGUAACACGUGAGCAACCUGCCCUUCACUCUGGGAUAACCCCGGGAAAUCGGGGCUAAUACCGGAUAUGAGCUCCUGUCGCAUGGCGGGUGUUGGAAAGUUUUUCGGUGAAGGAUGGGCUCGCGGCCUAUCAGUUUGUUGGUGAGGUAGUGGCUCACCAAGGCGAUGACGGGUAGCCGGCCUGAGAGGGCGACCGGCCACACUGGGACUGAGACACGGCCCAGAAUCCUACGGGAGGCAGCAGUGGGGAAUAUUGCACAAUGGGCGAAAGCCUGAUGCAGCGACGCCGCGUGAGGGAUGACGGCCUUCGGGUUGUAAACCUCUUUCAGCAGGGAAGAAGCGAAAGUGACGGUACCUGCAGAAGAAGCGCCGGCUAACUACGUG
rnacentral:rRNA from 1 species